rnacentral:rRNA from 1 species
UACGUAGGGGGCAAGCGUUGUCCGGAAUCAUUGGGCGUAAAGAGCGCGUAGGCGGCCCGAUAAGUCCGCUGUGAAAGUCAAGGGCUUAACCCUUGAAUGCCGGUGGAAACUGUCGGGCUAGAGUCCGGAAGAGGCGAGUGGAAUUCCUGGUGUAGCGGUGAAAUGCGCAGAUAUCAGGAGGAACACCGAUGGCGAAGGCAGCUCUCUGGCCUGCAACUGACGCUGAGGUGCGAAAGCGUGGGGAGCGAACGGG